rnacentral:rRNA from 1 species
AUUGAACGCUGGCGGCAGGCCUAACACAUGCAAGUCGAGCGGAUGAAGGGAGCUUGCUCCUGGAUUCAGCGGCGGACGGGUGAGUAAUGCCUAGGAAUCUGCCUGGUAGUGGGGGAUAACGUCCGGAAACGGGCGCUAAUACCGCAUACGUCCUGAGGGAGAAAGUGGGGGAUCUUCGGACCUCACGCUAUCAGAUGAGCCUAGGUCUGAUUAGCUAGUUGGUGGGGUAAAGGCCUACCAAGGCGACGAUCCGUAACUGGUCUGAGAGGAUGAUCAGUCACACUGGAACUGAGACACGGUCCAGCCUCCUACGGGGGGAACCAGUGGGGAAUAUUGGACAAUGGGCGAAAGCCUGAUCCAGCACUGCCGCGUGUGUGAAGAAGGUCUUCGGAUUGUAAAGCACUUUAAGUUGGGAGGAAGGGCAGUAAGUUAAUACCUUGCUGUUUUGACGUUACCAACAGAAUAAGCACCGGCUAACUUCGUG